AUGGGUCGCCGAGAUGCCGAGGCCAAGGCGGAGCUCCAGGCCAUCGAGGCCGCGUACGCCGCUGAGUCCGCCAGGCGUCGCCACCUCCCCGACUGGUCCAAGAUGCCAGCCCCCCGCCCCCGUCCGCCCACGGCCCAACCCAGUCCCCGCGGCCGCGUGUGCCUCCUCGCCGUCGUGGGUGCUCUCUCCCCACUUGCCAAUGUGAGUACCAGCUACCCACCCAUGUUCUUCUCUGUAAUCAAGUGUUCGCGGGGAAGCUCAGUUAUGGUCAAUUCAUCUCAAAAUAAUGCAAACCCUUGCAGACUGCUCAGGAAGCAGCUGAGUACACUGGCGGCAUCGGUUGUAAAUAGCCGGACUAAAGGAUCUAUGCACAUAUCUGCACCCGCAAGUUUUAUUGCUGGAGUGUGGAAUGGUUUGAGCACGGCAAUCAAGUGGCAGAAUUAUUGUUGA
rnacentral:rRNA from 1 species